GCGGAAGUGGCGAAAUUGGUAGACGCACCAGAUUUAGGUUCUGGCGCCGCGAGGCGUAAGAGUUCAAGUCUCUUCUUCCGCACCA
rnacentral:tRNA from 182 species